rnacentral:rRNA from 1 species
AGAUUGAACGCUGGCGGCAGGCCUAACACAUGCAAGUCGAGCGGUAGAGAGGUGCUUGCACCUCUUGAGAGCGGCGGACGGGUGAGUAAUGCCUAGGAAUCUGCCUAGUGGUGGGGGAUAACGUUCGGAAACGGACGCUAAUACCGCAUACGUCCUACGGGAGAAAGGCGGGGGACCUUCGGGCCUCGCGCCAUUAGAUG